GACGAACGCUGGCGGCGUGCUUAACACAUGCAAGUCGAACGGAAAGGCCCUGCUUGCAUGGUCCUCGAGUGGCGAACGGGUGGGUAACACGUGGGUGCUCUGCCCUCCACUUCGUGGUAAGCCUGGGCAACUGGGUCUAAUACCUGAUAGGAGCCAUUUCUAGUGUGAUGGUUGGAAAGUUUUUUUCGGUGUAGGAUGAGCUGGCGGCCUAUCAGCUUGUUGGUGGGGUAAUGGGCUACCAAGGCGGCGACGGGUAGCCGGCCUGAGAGGUUGGACGGCCACACUGGGACUUAGAGAAGGCCCAGACGCCGAAGGGAGGCAGAAGUGGGGAAGAUUGCACAAUGGGCGCAAGCCGGAUGCAGAGACGCCGCGGGGGGGAUGACGGCCUUGGGGUUGAAAAAUCGCUUCGCGAGGGACGAAGCUUUUUGUGACGGUACCUAGAGAAGAAGCACCGGCUAACUACGUG
rnacentral:rRNA from 1 species